rnacentral:misc_RNA from 1 species
GGCGUCAAUUAUGAAGAAUAUUCAGAGUCAGAAGAACAAUUUCAAACUCUUAUUGCUCUUCUCGUGGAAAUGUACACUCAAAAGUGGUUUCUUUUUUUUUAGAGGGUUCUGUAAGGAUUGUGAGCUUGUGACAUGGCUUUUUGAUUUGAUAGAAAAAUUGAAGAUAAUGCUUGUUGAACAUUUUUUAAGUGCUGUUGGGGGUGUUAUAAUGGGAUGAACAGUUUAUCAUGAUGAAAGUUGAUGUGCAAAUCAUUGUUGGUUGGCAUUUGGCAAGUUGGUACAUAUUUGGAAAUUGACUCAAAUUUUUCUCUUAUUUCUAUCAGAUAACAUCACACAUAUCAUAAUCUUUCACAAUUUCAUGGGACAAUGAAUAUCUGCUUAAAGAUUACCAUUUUCAUUUAUUCUUCUAUUUUUCAGGUAUCU